GCCAAGAGCAAGCUAGUCCGCUAAUCAAUCAUGUUAGCUGGCGGAACUUUGAUUAUAUCUUGGCGGAGCUCUUUAUCAUCGGAUUCCUGACCAAGCACGACAUCGAUCCCAACACAAACAAGAGGGGUUACCUUCGUUUGUGAACUGCCGGGUAAUGAAGGAAAUGACUUCAGUGGAAUCUUUGAUUGCGAAUCGCAUAUCGUACUGCUGCCAACCUCCCAUACGGCAGAUUCCAGGCAACCCAAAUCCCCGCGCUAUCCGACGCUGUGCCCUUUCGUUAUUAAGAUCACAUCCCAUGGAUUAUUUGCUUAGGCUGGGCCAGUCGACUGUGCAAGCGCAUCGAAAAGGAAUUAGUGAUCAACAAUCAAGUAACUGAACGUUUGCCGCGACAAGUACCGUGAGAAUUUUUUUUAAACGGAACUCGCUCUCUUAACGAUGGUCUGGAGGGGAGGAAAAAUGUGGCCUACCAGAAGAUCCUGAGCAAUUUUAGGUUUUUCAGCGAGCUUUGCCACUGACGAAACGGAAGAGGGUUUACCAUUGGCCGUCGUGCUGGCAUAUUGCUGAACUGUGAUGACUUGGGAGCUCGUCUGGAUUUCAAGACUCAGAUCACUAUACAGAGAUCUCGGCCAUUAGUCCCGUGUUAUUCGAUAGACGAAAAU